GUGCUCACUUUGGCAGCACAUGCACUAAAACUGGAAUGAUACAGAGAUUAGCAUGGCCGCCGCGCAAGGGUGACACGCAAAUUUGUGAAGCGUUCUAUAUUUUU
rnacentral:snRNA from 1 species